AGACGUCUACAUUAGAUACCCGUGUACGUCCCAGCCGUAAACUAUGCGCGUUAGGUGUAUCGGUGACCACGAGUCACCGAGGUGCCGAAGGGAAACCGUGAAACGUGCCGCCGUGGGAAGUACGGUCGCAAGGCUGAAACUUAAAGGAAUUGGCGGGGAGCACCACAACGGGUGGAGCCUGCGGUUUAAUUGGACUCAACGCCGGGAAGCUCACCGGAUAAGACAGCGGAAUGAUUGCCGGGCUGAAGACUCUGCAUGACUAGCUG
rnacentral:rRNA from 1 species